rnacentral:rRNA from 1 species
UACAGAGGUCUCAAGCGUUGUUCGGAUUCAUUGGGCGUAAAGGGUGCGUAGGCGGCGCGGUAAGUCGGGUGUGAAAUCUUGGAGCUUAACUCCGAAACUGCAUUCGAUACUGCCGUGCUUGAGGACUGGAGAGGAGACUGGAAUUUACGGUGUAGCGGUGAAAUGCGUAGAUAUCGUAAGGAAGACCAGCGGCGAAGGCGGGUCUCUGGACAGUUCCUGACGCUGAAGCACGAAGGCCAGGGGAGCAAACGGG